UACGAAGGGGGCUAGCGUUGUUCGGAAUCACUGGGCGUAAAGGGUGCGUAGGCGGGUCUUUAAGUCAGGGGUGAAAUCCUGGAGCUCAACUCCAGAACUGCCUUUGAUACUGAGGAUCUUGAGUACGGGAGAGGUGAGUGGAACUGCGAGUGUAGAGGUGAAAUUCGUAGAUAUUCGCAAGAACACCAGUGGCGAAGGCGGCUCACUGGCCUGUUUCUUGACGCUGAGGCGCGAAAGCUAGGGGAGCAAACGGG
rnacentral:rRNA from 1 species